rnacentral:rRNA from 1 species
UACGUAGGGUGCGAGCGUUGUCCGGAAUUAUUGGGCGUAAAGGGCUCGUAGGCGGUUUGUCGCGUCGGGAGUGAAAACGCCGUGCUUAACACGGCGCUUGCUUUCGAUACGGGCAGACUAGAGGUAUGCAGGGGAGAACGGAAUUCUUGGUGUAGCAGUGAAAUGCGUAGAGAUCAAGAGGAACACUCGUGGCGAAAGCGAGCUACUGGACAAUAUCUGACGCUGAGGCUCGAAGGCCAGGGUAGCGAAAGGG